CCUACGGGAGGCAGCAGUGAGGAAUAUUCUGCAAUGGGCGAAAGCCUGACAGAGCAAUACCGCGUGAAGGAUGAAAGCCUAUUGGUUGUAAACUUCUUUUCUCAAAGACGAAGAUCUGACAUUAUUUGAGGAAUAAGCAUCGGCUAACCCUGUGCCAGCAGCCGCGGUAAUACAGGGGAUGCAAGUGUUAUCCGGAAUCAUUGGGCGUAAAGCGUUUGUAGGUGGAUAUUUAAGUCUUAUGUUAAAUCUCUAAGCUUAACUUAGAACAGGCAAAAGAUACUGAAUAUCUUGAGUAUGGUAGAGGUAAAGGGAAUUUUCAGUGGAGCGGUGAAAUGCGUAGAUAUUGAAAAGAACACCAAUAGCGAAGGCACUUUACUGGGCCAUCACUGACACUCAGAAACGAAAGCUGGGGGAGCAAACAGGAUUAGAUACCCUGGUAGUCCCAGCUAGUAAACGAUGGAUAUUAGAUGUUGUGUAUAUAAAUAAUAUGNAGUAUGUGUCGUACGUACGUUAAUACUACCGUCCGUACGGUAGUACGUCGUCGCGAGAGAGAACGACGAAAGAAGUAGUACGCGUAGAGAGUGACGACGACGACGACGAGGGAGGAGG
rnacentral:rRNA from 1 species